rnacentral:rRNA from 1 species
UACGUAGGGGGCAAGCGUUGUCCGGAUUUAUUGGGCGUAAAGAGCGCGCAGGCGGUGUGACAAGUCGGAUGUGAAAGAGGCCGGCUUAACCGGCAAGGGUCAUUUGAAACUGUCAGACUAGAGUGCAGCAGAGGAUAGUGGAAUUCCCGGUGUAGUGGUGAAAUGCGUAGAUAUCGGGAGGAACACCAGUGGCGAAGGCGACGAUCUGGGUUGCAACUGACGCUGAGGCGCGAAGGCUAGGGUAGCAAACAGG